rnacentral:lncRNA from 1 species
UUUGAAAGAGCCCCCUCAACUUAGACCUUUUGAUUUGUUAGAAUUAUGGGUAUGUUUGGUUCGUAUUUGAAUAAAAUAAGAAAUAAAAUUAAAGUGUAUUAGAAUAAAAAAAUCGAAAGAUGAAUCAUCCAAAAGAGCUUGGUUUAUUAUUGGAAUGAAAAUUAUAGAGAGAAUUUUGAUUAUGGAAGAGGCGGGAGAUGAAGGAAAAGAAGGACCAAGUGUUUGUUAGAGAGGAUUUUCAAUGAUUUGCUCAGGAAUACAUCAAUUUAGAAUUUAAACUGGAUUGGGUCAUAAAUAGGUUAGAUUAUUUUCAUUCUAGAGUUGAAUAAGAAUCGAAAU